AUGAGGGCCCCCACUCAGCUCUUGGGGCUCCUGCUGCUCUGGCUCCCAGGUGCCAAAUGUGACAUCCAGAUGACCCAGUCUCCCUCCUUCCUGUCUGCAUCUGUAGGAGACUCAGCCACCAUCACUCGCCAGGCUAGUCAGGGCAUUAACAGGUAUUUAGCCUGGUAUCAACAAAAACCAGGGAAAUCUCCUACACUCUUGAUCUAUGAUGCAUCAAGUUUGCACACCGGAGUCCCCUCGCGGUUCAGCGGCAGUGGCUCUGGGACAGAUUUCACUCUCACCAUCAGCAACCUACAGCCUGAAGAUAUUGCAACUUAUUACUGUCAGGAGUAUCAAAGUGAGCCCUCCACGGUGUUACAAGCCCAAACAAAAACCCUCAAGGGAAGCAGAUGUGUGAGGCUGGGCUGCUCCACCUGUUCCUCUUGGUGUGUCCAUCUCUUGACAGCAUUUCUCAGACACAGCACGCUCUGA